rnacentral:rRNA from 1 species
CUAUUAUUUAAGGUGUUAAUAAAAUAACUUGAGUAGUAUCAGUUAGGUUCUUUAAACUCAAAGAAUUUGGCGGUGUUUUAGUCUAUUCAGAGGAAUCUGUCCUGUAAUCGAUAGUUCACGAGUAAUUAUACUUAAUUUUGUAAGUUCAGCUUGUAUAUCGCCGUCAUCAGAUUAUUUUUGAAGAAUUAAAAAUUUUCUUGAAAUUGAUUAAAUUAUAUGUCAGGUCAAGGUGCAGUUUAUAGUUAAGAAGAGAUGGAUUACAAUAAAUUUAUUUAUAUGGAUAUUUAUUGUAUAUAUGUAAAUUGAAGGUGGAUUUGAUAGUAAUUUUAUUUACUGGUAAUUUGAUUGUAGCUCUAGAACA